AGGACGAACGCUGGCGGCGUGCUUAACACAUGCAAGUCGAGCGGAAAGGCCCUUCGGGGUACUCGAGCGGCGAACGGGUGAGUAACACGUGAGUAAUCUGCCCCUAGCUCUGGGAUAGCUCCGGGAAAACCGGGAUUAAUACCAGAUACGACCACUUUAGACAUCUUCUGUGGUGGAAAGAACUUCGGCUAGGGAUGAACUCGCGGCCUAUCAGCUUGUUGGUGAGGUAACGGCUCACCAAGGCGACGACGGGUAGCCGGCCUGAGAGGGCGACCGGCCACACUGGGACUGAGACACGGCCCAGACUCCUACGGGAGGCAGCAGUGGGGAAUAUUGCGCAAUGGGCGAAAGCCUGACGCAGCGACGCCGCGUGGGGGAUGAAGGCCUUCGGGUUGUAAACCCUUUCAGCAGGGACGAAGCGAAAGUGACGGUACCUGCAGAGAAGCGCCGGCUAACUACGUGCCAGCAGCCGC
rnacentral:rRNA from 1 species